rnacentral:rRNA from 1 species
CACGUAGGGGGCGAGCGUUGUCCGGAAUCAUUGGGCGUAAAGAGCUCGUAGGCGGCUCGGUAAGUCGGGUGUGAAACCCCCAGGCUCAACCUGGGGACGCCACCCCGAUACUGCUGUGGCUAGAGUCCAGUAGGGGAGUGUGGAAUUCCCGGUGUAGCGGUGAAAUGCGCAGAUAUCGGGAGGAACACCAGCGGCGAAGGCGGCACUCUGGGCUGGAACUGACGCUGAGG